CGUGGCUUUUUUUAAUCGUUUCUCUCUCCUCCGUUGCGAAUAGUUUAAAAAAAAAAAGCCACGCAUGCAGAACGAUGUCGUCUCCUCCUUUCUUCUUCACCACGACGCCGUCUCCUCCUUUCUCCUUCCCCACGACGCCGUCUCCUCCUCCCCCCUCUGUCUCUACUUCUUCUUUCUCUAUUCUGAGUGUCCCCUAAGCCCCAAAUCGAAUUCGUCCAAACCCUAAGCCCUAAAUCGAUCUCGUCCAAACCCUAAACCCCAAAUCGAAUUCGUCCGAACCCUAAGGCCCAAAUCGAUCUCGUCCGAACCCUAAACCCCAAAUCGAAUUCGUUCGAACCCUAAGCCCCAAAUCAAUCUCAUCCGAACCCUAAACCCCAAAUCGAUUUCGUCCUAACCCUAAGCCCCAAAUCAAAUUUGACAAUCUGCAGUUAUCUUGCGAUUUGGGUCCUCAUCGACCUCG
rnacentral:lncRNA from 1 species